UUUUCUUUUUCUGCCACCGAAUACAUUACCCUGGGAUAAUGGAAUAGGACCCUGUCCUCCUAUUUUCAGUUGGUUUUGGCAGCGCGAGGACUAGGGUAAUGAUUAAUAGGGAUAGUUGGGGGCAUUAAUAUUUAAUUGUCACAGGUGAAAUUCUUGAAUUUAUGAAAGAUUAACUUCUGCUAAAGCAUCUGCCAAGGAUGUUUUCAUUAAUCAAUAACGAAAGUUAGGGGAUCGAAUACAAGCCCAUACCGUCCCAUUCUUAACCUUACCCGAUGCCGACCACCGAUUAAGACACGUUAAAUACAAAACACCACCAUCGGCGCGGUCGUCCUUGGCGUUCGUGUUCACGCACGAACGCUAGGGCGGCUUAGCCCGAUGGCCCCGGUGAUUGACUCCCUAACAGCUUGGGAAA
rnacentral:rRNA from 1 species